AUUGAACGCUGGCGGCAUGCCUUACACAUGCAAGUCGAACGGCAGCACGGGAGCAAUCCUGGUGGCGAGUGGCGAACGGGUGAGUAAUGUAUCGGAACGUGCCCAGUCGUGGGGGAUAACGCAGCGAAAGCUGUGCUAAUACCGCAUACGAUCCAUGGAUGAAAGCGGGGGAUCGCAAGACCUCGCGCGAUUGGAGUGGCCGAUAUCAGAUUAGCUCGUUGGUGGGGUAAAAGCUGACCAAGGCGACGAUCUGUAGCUGGUCUGAGAGGACGACCAGCCACACUGGAACUGAGACACGGUCCAGACUCCUACGGGAGGCAGCAGUGGGGAAUUUUGGACAAUGGGCGCAAGCCUGAUCCAGCAAUGCCGCGUGCAGGAUGGAGGCCUUCGGGUUGUAAACUGCUUUUGUACGGAGCGAAAAGGCUCUCUCUAAUACAGGGGGCUCAUGACGGUACCGUAAGAAUAAGCACCGGCUAACUACGUGCCAGCAGCCGCUGUAACAC
rnacentral:rRNA from 1 species